rnacentral:snoRNA from 1 species
UUGCUGUGAUGACCAUCUUAGGACACCUUUGGAACAGCCGUGAAAGGAAAGAUGUUUCUGAGCAAC